GAUAGGACAGCCGGGGUAAGGCUUAGCCACCAGCUCCCUGCCUGCAGCUGCAGAACACCUAGGCUGGACCCUAGGGCAGAGCCAAGGUUUUGAGUGACAGCCGAAGUAAUGUAAAUAAACCGCUGUCCCCCUAAAUUGCCUUUUGUUGAGGAUAUUUUUCACAGCAACAAAAGCCAAAGUAAAAGGUGGAACAAGUUAAAGCCAGGCAAGGGGUGGCCCUCUAGGGGAGCCAUAGAGGUGGCGGGAACUCCGGAAAUCUUGACCUUGCAUCUGAAGCGCUGCAAAGGGGAUAGUGCCAACUACGACCAGGGAGGGAGAUGGGGGGUUGGGCCACACUGCCCUGCCCAAACAGUUUUCUCCAGAACCUCCUUCCGGCGGUCUAAACCGCACUGAUGAGGAAGGAAAGGAGCGCACGGGUGCCGGGCCCCGGGAACCCAUUCGAUUUAGAAGAAACACUGAGGGUGGACUUGGCGGACCCGUGCUCACACCACCCGUGGGACUCCUUCCCACGCCCGCUCCGGAGCCCAGAAGUUUGCUGUGGAGUUUGUUUGUCGCGCCCGCGCACCUACUGUGGGCAAGAAGAGCCAGCGCAGGCCCGCCCGCUCGCCGGCCCAGAGUGCUGCCCCGCGCGCCGUUCAUGCAGUUCCUUCGCCACCGCCGAGAGCUCGCGGCGACGGCGAGUCGCUACGGCGGCGCGAAAACCCGGCGGCAGCCACCGAGUCUCUGUAGCCGGGCCGGGAAAGCCGGGAGCGCCGCGCGACCCGCUCAGAAGCGUCCUUGAGUAACCAAGAAAACGAGGACGACGGUGUAAGCUUUGUAGGAAGAGCAGAUGUAGUAGUGCACGCCUGCACCAGGAUGGCCGAGUGGUUAAGGCGUUGGACUUAAGAUCCAAUGGACAUAUGUCUGCGUGGGUUCGAACCCCACUCCUGCCAUUUAAUUAUCUGGAGUCGCAGAAAAAUAUUUUUUCCGAAAAGCUCGGAACUCCGUGGGAAAUAGUAUCAGUCUAUUUAAACAGUGACACCUACUGGUAAACUGAGGUGUCAAACUUAAAAUCCAUCGGCACACGACAAAGAACGGCCCGAAAAAAGGAUCAUCUCUUAGCCUGAAAUAACAAGUGGCACUUAUCAGAUCUUCAAUCCAACUACCUGAAUAUCGACCUUGAAGAAAUUUUAUCAGACUGAAAAUACAGCCAGCGGUACCAGCAACAAGGCAUCGGGACAAAACAGACAACAGCCUGGGCAUGCGUUUAUCUGACAGUUUCCGAGGACACUACAAGGGACAAAACUGCAGGAUAUGGUCCCAGUAAUGCAAAGCCCUCUCGAGAUUUCCCAUUCUCUGCUCUCCUCAAAGACUAAAUAUGCAGGAGAGGCUAGAAGGGUAGAGAGUAAGAGUCAGAGUCAUGAAUCACAUGUGGUAAUAAAAGCUAAACAAAACAAAAUCACCCUCGUGCGCACACACGCGCGCACACGUACACACACACACACACACACACACACACACACACACACACACACACAAAACCCAAAACAAUCGGAGAGCUGGAGAUAAAGCUCAGUUGGCAAAGUACUAUACCCAGCAUGCACCAAGCCCUGGGUUUGAUCUCUAGACCAAAACAAACAAAAAAACAGUGUGUAGUAAUUCAUGCUUACCAUAUGAGCACUUGUGUGUGUGUGUGUGUGUGUAAAUAUGUGCAUAUAUCACAUAAUACAAUACUGAGAGGACUGAUUUAGCCAGAGCUCCCAGAUCCAGGAACUCCCGGUCAUCGAACCACUGCCUCAGGCAGCCAGUCUGAGGACUUCUGGCCUAAAGUAAGAAUACGUAGCUAGAAUGAGUAAGCCACUCCCUGGAAAGUCUCCAGAGCCUAACCAAUUAUAGAAUCAGUCAGAUGCCCUAGAGACAGAACUAACUUAUCAAGGUAAAAGGGCACUCACCUCUCCCUGGAAUUCCCCUAACUGACAAUAAAGGCUGGGCCUGCAAAUCCACCAGGUAACUCCAUUCCCAAAUGGGGAGACACCUGCAUGUGGGAGAUUCAGCUGAAUAAACAUUCUUUGCUUUUACAUACUGUUUGAGUUCAGGGUCUUCCUUCAGCGAUCCUUGGACCCUAACAAUACCAUUUAAUAUAUAUUUUAUGUCAUAUAUGUGAUAUAAUAUAUAUAUCAUAUAACAAGUAUAUAAGCAGAAGCAAACUUACUUCUGAUGACAUUAUCCAUUAUUUGUCUACUGCUUUUCAUCAUUGUCUUAGAUUAUGCUUUUCCCAAUUUCUCAGUUGCUUCAUUUUCUCUUAUUCUUGGUUUAAUCUUAUUUUGCUCCUUCUGGCUCUAGGAGCAGAAGACUGAUAUAUUUAAGUAUAUAAACACAUACGUGUAUACACUGUGUGUGUGUUAGUAUGUGUGUGUGUGUGCUAGUAUGUGUGUGUAUGUGUGCAUGUGAAAAACACUUAAACUGGCAGUCACACGGUAGGCUAUGGAAUCAGGUUUGUGGGCAUUCCGUCGUAUAGCAACUUCCUGCAAACUGAAGCAUUUCACUCUGGAGAGAAACUCCUCUAAGACUUCGGAAGUUUGAAACUGAGUGUGUCCCACGUUCCUUUAAUCCUAGCAGCCAGGAGGCAGAAGCAGGAGAAUCUCUGGGAAUCUGAGAUCAGCUUGCUCUACACAGUGAGUUCCAGACCCACCAGGGCUACAUAGAGAAACCCUGUCUCAAACAAACAAACAAACAAACAGACAAACACAACAAACAAACAAACAAACAGACAAAACAAACAACACAACAAACAAACAAACAAAACUACUUAGGAAGUUUUUAAAGGAGGCUUGUUAAGAGGAGAGGUAACAACUCACUAGUCUCAGGAAGAACCAGAAACUGACCAUAUGUACUCUGUUGCCUGCUUUUUUUUUUUCUAAACAGGAUUCACAGUGUAUGUGUCUGUGUGUUUAUAUGUCCGUGUUUGACAUGAUUCCUGUGAGAACAAACGUGUAGUCUACUCACUUCAGCUAGGGGAUAGACAACAGACCAAAGUAAUGAUACCCAACAUCCAGUUAGUGAACGAAUGAGUUUAUUAGGGUUACUCAUUGAAAUAUGAGUACGAGAUUACUUACAGUAACAUGAACUUAAAGGCACGUGCAUCACCAAAACGCCCAGCCCACUGUCAAUCAUUACACAGGAAAACUCAGCCUGCUUUUUUUUUUUUUUUUUUUUUUUUUUGAGAUAGGGAUUCACAACAAUGCAGCCCAGGCAGGUCUGGAUCUCACUAUACAAAGCAAGCUGAUCUUAAACUUGCAGAGAUCCUCCUGCCUCUGCCUCCUGGCUGGUAGACUAAAGGGAUGGGCCAGCACUCUCAUUAGAACUUCCAGAGUCUUAGGUCAUUUAUUUGAAGCUGAGUGUAGCAGGGGACACUUGCCACCUCAGGAUGGGGUGAUGCAGAUUGGAGGAGCAGAAGCUGAAGCUGAAGCUCAUCCUUGAGGACAUAGGGAGUUAGAUGGCAAAACGACGACACACAGACAAAAGUAAGUCAUUUAUUCAGGCUGGAAAGGUAACUCAGUUGCAUAGAAUUGCUAGGCAUGCUCGAGCUCUAGGUCUUAGUUAAGAGGCCAAGAAGCGAUCAAAUCCCAGUCUGAAAGAGAAAGCUGGUAAGUGGGAGUCUUACCAGAGUCCUGACAGCCAUCUAAGGGAAAAAAGGAACCACAAAUAGCCACCACUAGCUUGAAGGUUCGAGUUGGCCUUGAGGCCAUAGCAAUCAAAGCAAGGGCUUGGCUGCACUCUUACCAGGUGGGGAAGUCCGGAAAAUGAGACAGAAAAAGUAGCCUGAGAAACGGAGCUACUCUUAUGGUGGUAAGGGAUGGGGCGUUAAAAUCAAGAUGGAUGUUUAGAUCUUGGGAAACUUACAGUCUUUACCCCUCAUUCCCAUUUAUAAUCUCUAUAUUUAUUUCCACUUUGUUAGAACUUGGUGUUUGUACAUUUCUUUAAUCAUAAAGAAAUGGUUUCUUCUUUUUUUUUCAAGUUCCCAAUCUUUUUUUUGACAUUUUUUUUCUUUUAUUGUAUUUUUUAUUUGCAUUUCAAAUGUUAUCCUCUCUCCUGAUUUCUCCUCCAGAAACCUGAUAUCUCCCCCUGAUUCUAUGAGGAUGCUCCACCACUCACCACCCACUCCCUCCUACCUCCCCACCCUGACAUUCCCCUACACUGGUGCAUCGAGCCUUGAUAGGACCGAGGUCCUCUCCUCCCAUUGAUGCCAGACAAGGCCAUCCUCUGCUACAUAUGCAGCUGGAGUCAUAGGUACAUCCCUGUGUUCUCUUGGGAUGGUGGUUUAGUCCCUGUGAACUCUGGGGAGUCUGGUUGGUUGAUAUUGUUGUUGUUGUUCUUUUGGGGUUGCAAACCUCUUCAGCUACUUCAGUCCUUUCUCUAACUCCUCCACUGGAGACCCCGUUCUCAGUCCAAUGGUUGGCUAUGAGCAUCCACCUCUGUAUUUGUCAUGCUCUGGCAGAGCCUCCCAGGAGACAGCUAUAUCAGGCUCCUGUCAGCAUUCACUUCUUGGCAUCCACAAUAUUGUCUGGGUUUGUGUCUGUAUAUGGAAUGGAUCCCCAGGUGGGGCAGGCUGUGGAUGGCCUUUCCUUCAGUCUCUGCUCCACACUUUGUCUCCAUAUUUCCUCCCAUGAGUAUUUCUGUUCCCCUUUCUAAGAAGGACUGAAGUAUCCACACUUGGGUCUUUCUUCUUUUUGAGCCUCAUGUGGUCUGUGAAUUGUAUCUUGGGUAUUCUGAGCCUUUGUACUAAUAUCCACUUAUGACUUCUUCUUUUGAUUUGUUUGCAGGUCCCUGGGCGAUCACUUGCUAAAUAUAGUUAGUUUACCAUUUUAUCUACUAUCCACACACAAAGAUGAAUCACUGUAAUUAUUUAUUCUCUUGAGAAGGAACAGGAGGUGUGCAUGUCAAAGUAAUAUGCACCUUUAAUCCACCCGAACGAUAAACUGGAGAAUAGAUGCUGAGAACCCUUAACUAUGGCUCAGAUUUCCAGAGUCUCCCAAUUGUAGGAGAUAAUUUAGGUUUGUGGGAUGUAUUGAGAAGAUUUUAUUAGUUUGUUUGGGUUUUUUUUUUUGAGACACGUGUGUGUGUAUGUGUGUGUGUGUGUGUGUGUGUGUGUGUGAGAGAGAGAGAGAGAUCUGUAUUGAAUUUCAGCUGUCAAUUCUGAAGGCUGGUCAAUUCUUCAAUGUUCUCCAAAAUGAGCAGAAAGCUAGAGGGUUUGAAUUUAUACAAGUUUCUGAGAUCAGGCUAUAGACGCCUUUCUUACAUUGCCUUGAUUCCUUUUCUAGAGGCCUGUUUGUUUGUUUGCUUGUUUAGCAAUUUCCUUAAUUAGAAGUACAAACACUAAUGCUCUUCCCUUCUAUUCACUGAAAUAUAAGGGGAUGGGGGUUGUGCUAAACUUGUUUUCUAUUCUACUAUGAGGCAGAACACAAUAUUUUCUGAAUCUUCCCCUAUCAGGUAGAUGGAUUUGAAAAAUGGUCACAUAAGGAGCUUGGACUGACGUUAUGGACAGAGCAGGCAGAAACCCAAUGCUAUUUUUAUUCAGGGAAUGCGCCAGACCAAGGUGGAACACAGCCGUCUGCGGUGGUCAAGUCAUGCUUCCGAGUACCUUUAUUCCUCUGUGGUAGGAGUUUCUUGGUUCGUCAUUAUGGAGCACCUCACGAGCUCUUGCGGGAAGUCUUGGUUGGUCAGAAUAUCUUAGGAUAAUCUUCCCUGCUUAACCAUUCUUUCUUAUUUAUUUUGAUUUUGAUUUUGAUUUUUAUUAUUUUUUUUUUUUUGGAACAGCCCUGGAUGUCCUGAAACUCUCUUUGUAGACCAAGCUGACUUCAAACUCAGAGAUCUGGCUCCUUCUGUGCUGUAUGUCCAUGAAUCCAGCAAGACAUUCUGGUUUUUUUUUUUUAAAGAUGUAUUUAUGUGAGUUCACUGUGGCUGCCUUCAGGCACACCCAAAGAGGGCAUCAGAUCCCAUUACAGAUGGUUGUGAGCCACCAUGUGGUUGCUGGGAAUUGAACUCAGAACCUCUGGAAGAGCAGUCAGUGCUCUUAACCACUGAGCCAUCUCUCCAGCCCCCUCUGUUUUUUUUUUUAAUAUUUAUUUACUUAUGUUUAUGACCACACUGUCCUUCCAAUCACAGAUGGUUGUGAGCCACCAUGUGGUUGCUGGGAAUUGAACUUAUGACCUUUGGAAGAGCAGUGCUCUUAACCACUGAGCCAUCUCUCCAGCCCCCACUGUAACACAUUCUGGCAAACUAUUGAACCUAACAAAAGUAGCCCAAGUUCCCAAAUUUGUAGGCAGAUUGUCAGCUGUGCAGGUGGCCUGGUGAGUCCUCACUUGUAGCCGGCAUCUGAAGUGAGAGCCAUGUAACCGGGACUGCUCCUUACACUUAUGGAGUCUGACGUAACCUGCAGGUGGCUAGCGUCAGAGCUGAACUGCAUAUAUUGUAGCUGCCAAGGGCCAGAACCACUCUUCCAGCAUAAAGCGGUUGAGAACAGCACGAGAGUGACUGUACCAGAUAGUUUUACGUCACCUUGACACAAGCUAAAGUCAUCUGAUAGGAGAAAACCAUGCUUCCAUAUGAUCAGGCUAUAGACAGUACUGUAGGACAUUUUCUUAGUGACUGAUGGGAGAGGGUCCAGCCCAUUAUGGGUGCUUCCAACCCUGGGUUGGUAGUCCUGGGUUUGAUAAGAAAGCAGACUAGGCAAUCCCUGAAGAGCAAGUCAGUAAGCAGCACUCCUCCAUGGCCUCUGCAUCAGCUUCUACCUGCAGGUGCCUGUCCGGCUUGAAUUCCUGUCCUGACUUCCUAGCAUGAUAAACAGUGGUGUGGAAGUGUAAGCUGAAUCAACCCUUUCCUCCCCAAGUUGCUUUAAGAGUCACGGUGUUGCAUCACAGCAGUGAUAACCCUAACUAGUGCCAGAAUCAAUAGCUUCAUCCAGGUGAGGUCAGGGCUCACCUUGGUAUCACCGGAGCAAGGGAGUUAGGGUAGGAGCUGGGAGCAGGCAGCAACGAAGCCUGGGGCUUGGUGUGCAAAUCCUCAGAGAAUGACAUUGAGACAUUGUUGCUCAUGCUCAAAUAAACAUUCCCCACUAUGCCCCGAAACAAGACUUGGGUACAGAGCCAGGCGCUCCUGCUAACAUCACCAUCACCAAAUCACUGGAAGGAAGUCUCCUGGCAACUAACCAGAGUGUCAUGGAGUCAUCUGGCGCUACAAUUAUUAUUGGUACAUCUAGAUGGAUCUAAGGCCGGAGAUUUUGUACAAGGAGUAAAGAACUUAAAUUCUCCCCGUGGAUCGCUUCUUAAAUAAAAUAUGCUGAGCUCACCAUAAUCUCAAUACCGUCUGGUACUUUGGAUUUCUUGAUAAUGAAAUAUGAAUGAGAAAUGCUUUACAGCACCGGGCUGUCUGCACAAGGGUGAGCAGCUUGGCUGGCUUCCAAGCAGUCUCCCAAGCUGAUACUGUCUUUCCUAGCUUCUGGGUGGGUAAAUCCCAAUUCGCUACUGUUUCAGAAUUCAGCUAGGUGAACCUUAGCGGUCUGAAGGAUAUAAACCAGAAUGUGUGCUUAUUAAAAUGUAGCAUACUGGGACAGGAAAGAUGGCUCAGCGAUGGAUAGCACUCGUUGCUCCUGCAGAGGACCAGGGUUCAAUGCUCAGCAUUCACAAGGUGGCUCACAUCCAUCUGUGAUUCUGGUUCCUGGGGCUCCAGUGCUGCCUUCUAACCACUGUGGGCACCAACCAUGACCAUCAUACAUAUACAUACAUGCAGGCAAAACAGUUAUAAUACAAAAUAAAAAUUAAAAAAUAUAUACACAUAUGUACAUACUCAUACAUAUACACAUACAUAUAUGCAUAAUGCACACACAGUUCUGUUCACAGGUUAGCAGGCAGCGGCAGCUUGAUCCACUCCAAAAACGCGUUAUGGAUACCCAGCAGUCCAGUUUGGUAGAGUCAGGAUAGCAAACAUGAAUCAGUGGCACUUACGGUGGCAGUGAUGGCACUGCCUAGCAGAGACAGCCAGGCCUCUGGACAAUCAGCAGGAGGGACCAAGAGGAACAUCAGGAGAAGUUCUCCUCUGUACCCCUCUUGGGGAAGUGAAAGUGGGAGAUCCAUAAGUAUUACAUGGCUAGCUCUAUAACCAAGCCAAGCUCAGCCUCCGUCACUGUCAGUCAGACCCUACUUACACCCUCCAAACAUCACAUGUCCUCCAAGGGUCUGGCCUCAGUCUGCCUCAGCUGACGUCACUCGGCCAAUCAGCCUGAGUCCGAGGGAGUGGCCAGACACUGCAGCACACCACCAGAACUUUUUAGAUGUGUUUCUUUCUACGAAAUCCAUUGCAGCUCAACUAUGCAAUGUAAGGUGGACCAAUACAUGCAUUGUUAACGAAGACUCCUUCAUCACGUGUCCUUUCACGUGCUUGCUUUAGCAGACAACUUUUCACCUGUGUCUGCUUCAGAGAAACAUUUCUUCACAAGUCUGCCUUAAUCUUUCACUUGUGUUCACUUCAGCUCAAUGUUCCUUCAAGUGUUUGCCCCAGCAAAACACCAUCCAACCAACUUUCCAAAGAACCCAUAAGUUUCCACUUCACACACACUUACACCCACAUACGCCAUACACACACAAUCACGUACAUAUAUAGACACACUCACACACGCAUACAUCACACACAGACAUAUACACACAUAUUACAUGUAAGGCACACACAUGCGCAUGCACACAUACACAUGCAUAUACAUGCACAUGUGUGUACACACAAACAUAUAUAUGGGCACAUGCACACAAAACUUCCUGGUUCAUCGUGGUCAUUUGGAUCCAUUCUACCUCUGAUGAGUCACCUGAAACCCUUCUGGGAGUCAGAAAACAGAGUAUCACCACAGGCCAUCACAUUUCCAGACAGACUGGACUGUUAAGAAUGUCAACAUCUUGACUUCAAAUCUGUUUCCAGGACCUUCCUAACACGGAUUCCAGUCCAUCUCCAUGGAGCCCAACACAACACAGGUAAUCACUCUCACAACACAGUUUCUUUGCUAUUUGAAGAGACAUCUCUUUAGUCCCUACCCUGCCCCUUUAAAAUACCACCUCUCCAGGAACAAGUGCCCCCAGGACUGUUCUUCAAGCUGAAUCUCUUUAAGGCUUGCCUUCAGCACAGCCCUGCCCGCACUCACUACUCCAGACUUUUCCGUAUUGUUAGAACCCCUCAUAAACCAUGUGAAUUUGUGGAAGUUCAGCCUAAGCUUAGCCUGCCCAGAUAAAAACUUCAGCAGGAGCUCCAGGAAAGACAUUGGAGUUCACAGAGAUCUCAGGCGUCAGGGUUCACUGUCCUCCUCAUUCCUCAGCUUCAUGUUCUUUUUUUUUUUUUUUUUUUUUUUUUUCGGAGCUGGGGACCGAACCCAGGGCCUUGUGCUUCCUAGGUAAGCACUCUACCACUGAGCUAAAUCCCCAGCCCCCUCAGCUUCAUGUUCUUAUAAGGGUCUAUAUCCCAGGCAGGCUUUUCUCUUCUAAUAGCAAGCUGAGAGAAUUUUAGCCUUAUACCACACACUUCAGUUUAGCAGAAAACAGAGGAAAUCUGGUCACCAAAGGAGGAUGUGGUGGCUUGAAUAGGUUUGACCCCCUUAGACUCGUUGUUUGAAUGCUUGGGCCAUAGGGAGUGGCACUAUUAGGGGGUGUGGCCUUGCUGGAGUAGGUGUGGCUUUGUUGGAGGAAGUGUGUCACUGUGGAGGGGGGAUUUGAGGUCUCUUGCAUACUUAGAUUACACGCAGUGUGGAACAGAGUCCUUUCUGCUCCUUAUGGAACAAGAUGUAGAACUCUUAGCUCUUUCCCUAGCACCAUGCCUGCCUGGAUGCUGCCAUGCCUCCCACCAUGAUGAUAAUGGACUGAACCUCUGAAACUGUAAGCCAGCCUCAAUUAAAUGUUUGCCUUUAUAAGAGUUGCCUUGGUUGUAGUGCCUUCACAGUAGUAGAAACCCAAACUAAGACAAAAGGGGACACACUCACUGGCCAGGAGUCAAGAAUAAACUCUCAGAAAUACACAGACUUGGGUGGGGAGAGCUGGUGUCCAGGAGGAAAGUAGGUUAAAAAAUGUCACAUGGUGAUGUCCACACAUGGUCUUAGUACCUCAGGUGUAUUGUGACCAGGGACACAGCUGUCUCCAUCUUUGCUAUGAGCUUCAUUGGUAAACAUGGAAUGGAGAAAGGGAUGGGGGAAGGAAGAAAGGGAGGGAAGGACAAAGAGAGGUAGGAAGAAUUCUCCAGGUUUUAAAAUGGAUGUAUUUAUUUAUUACAUAUAAGUACAUUGUAGCUGUCUUCAGACGCACCAGAAGAGGGCAUCAGAUCCCAUUACGGAUGGUUGUGAGCCACCAUGUGGUUGCUGGGAUUUGAACUCAGGACCUCUGGAAGAGCAGUCAGUGCUCUUAACCGCUGAGCCAUCUGAAUCCUCCAUCCUUGGUAACAGCUCCAGAGGCUGUCACAGCCUAGGACUCCCUCUGCUAGCAGCUGAUGCUUGGUGGAUGUGCAGAGUGCCUUCCACUCAAAUAAAGCCUUAUUCCUCAAUUUCCAAACCAUAGCAUAUAGUAAGGAGAAGGAGAGGAGGAGGAGGAGGGGAAGGAGUCACUGGCCUAGUAUCAGGUACUCUGAGAGAAAGCAUGCCAUGGCAGGGAAGCUGGCAGCAAAACAGGAGCAAAGUGGUAGCUAUAAUUCAAAAUGCAGAGCAGAGGUGUCACAAGAAGAUGAACACAGUUCCCACUUUCAAACCUAAUAUAGAACUACAGCAAUCAGGACAGAGGGGAAUUGAUACGAGAAGACACAGAAAUCAAUGGGAAACACCGAGAGCCCAGAAAUAAACAGUGUAGUCAUGGCCAAUUGAUUUUUGAAAAAAAAGGGGCCAAGGUAACUCAAUGUGAAUUGCCUUUGAAACAAAUGGUGUCGGAGCAAUUAGAUGCCUACACAUAAAAAAAUAUGAAUUUACAUCCUUCCCUCCUCCCGUAUGCGAAGAUGAAGAUGAGGAAUACAGGAAGACAUAAUGCCUGGCCCAUUGAAGAGUAAAUUAGAAACCAGCAAAAUUACCCAUCACAGGCUAGGUGUGUAGUUCCAUGGGCAGAGCCCUAGCCUCAAAUGCAAGGGUUUAUUUGUUUGGUAAUACAUGCCUAUAAUCUCAGUAAUGGAGAGGUAGAGACGGGAGAAUCAGAAGUUCAAGGUCAUCCCCAGCUACAUAUUUGACUUAUUCCCCAAAACAGCAGCAGCAGCAGCAGCAGCAGCAGCAGCAGCAGCAGCAGCAGCAGCAGCAACGAUGACAAAUUAUCUUCACAACUUCGAAAGACAACCAUUUAGGAAUAAGGGGAAAAAAAACCCACAGGAUGGGGGGAAAUAUUUGAAAAGCGUACACCUAGCAAACAGCUAGAGCUUCUGUAGAAGAGAGCAAACAGUGAAAGGCAAUGCAGUUUUAGAAAUGGGGGAAAGGAUGUGAAGAUGGGAAAUCUUGUCACUUCUUAGGAAAACAAGAAUGAAAGCCAUAACGUGGCACUUCUUGAUAACUACUAGCAUGAUGAUGAUGAUGGUGAUGGUGGUGAUGAUGAUGAUAUUGUUGGCGACAAUGACGAUGAUGGUGACAAUGAUGGUGGUGAUGAUAGUGAUGAUGGUUAUGAUGAUGAUGAUGUUGACAAUGGUGAUGAUGAUCGUGAUGAUGAUGAUGAUGAUGAUGAUGACGAUGAGAUGGUGGUGGUGGUGGUGGUGAUGAUGAUGAUGGCGGCAAUGACGAUGAUGGUGACGAGGACGGUAGUAACGCUAAAGUCAGACAGUGGUGCCUGAGAGAAGGCUCAGAGGUUAAGAGCAACAGCUGCUUUUCCUGAGGACCAGGGUUUGAUUCCCAGCACUGCAUGGUCAAUUGUGAUGAUUUACAACUCCAGGGGAUCCCACAGCCUCUUCUGGCCUCUGUGGGCACUGCAUGCAUGUGGUACAUAAAGAUGCCUCCAGGCAAAAUAUCCAAACAAGUUUCUAAAAGUCAGCAGUAAACAUGGGCGGUGGUGUGGAAGAAACUGCCAUGUUCAGACGCUGCUGGUGGGAACACAAGUGGUGCAGCUGGUCGUAAGGAAUCUGGAAGUUUCUUUAGAAAUUAAACAGAGAUCUACCCCACAGGAAAGCAAUUUCACUUCAGGAUGUGUACAGAGAGGAAGGUAGGACCUUUGCUUACAAACACAGAUGCACACAAAUGCUUGUGGGUGUCAUUGUUCCUGAUCAUGAAGAAUUGGUCACGGUCUAGUCCUACGUUAAAUGUCAAAUGGAGAGGCAAAUGGGCUACAUUCACAUAAACAGACGAGGAUCCUACAGAAAAUUGGAGGGGGUGAGAAAUUACCAGUACAUAAGCCCCAUUCGUGAGAAAUGCUGGGAGAAAGAAGCCAGACUCGAAAGGCCAAAUACCGUACGAUUCCAUUUUAAACGAAAUGCCAGAAAGCAGCUAGGCUGUGUGCGCGGAAAGUGGAUCAGUUGUUGCCUGGAGCUGGUGGCUGGAAAAGGCGUGAAGGAUCAAUUGGUAUUGAUAGGAAUGUCCUGACGAUGAAUUGUGGAAAUGUUUUCACAGCUCUGUAUGUUUAGUAACAGCCACUGAACCGAAUGCCUUAAAUAGAUGGAUGGUCUGUAAACUUACCCACCCCCUUCUUAAAUACUACCCACCCCACAGCCACCCCGAGACAAACACUGCCUGGUUUACAGUUCUUGCUUCUCCCUGCUUGAAGGACACACCUAGAUGCUAACUUUAUUUAAAUGCUUAAAUGCUUAAAUGCUUUCUUUAUUUAAAGAAGAUGCAGCUAUGAUCCAACGAUGGGGUACAAUUAUCAACAAUUUUUAUACCUUUUUUCACAUUUUAAAAUGAGCAGUAACUGGAUGUGGUGGCGUGGACCUGUAUUUCCAGUGACUGAGGGGGAUGAGGCAGAAGAACUGUUCAUUGAAGACUUGGGCUGGCUACAGAAUGAGUUCAAAGCCGUCUUGACAACACUCAUUUGUGCGUGCGCACACACACACACACACACACACACACACACACACACACACACACGAGAGGACGCUAAGGUUUAAUGGUAGGGCAGUGUUGGCACGCACACCUUUAAUCCCAGAACUUAGGAGGCAGAGGCAUGGGGAUCUCUGAGUUGAGGCCAGCCUGGUCUACAGAGUGAGUUCCAGGACAGCCAGAGCUACGCAGAGAUAACCCGUCUCAGAAAACCAAAGGGAGAAAAAAGUUCGGUGUUAGUCUCGGCACUCGCUCAGCAUGUGCGAGGUCAAAAUUAAUAAAUGUACUCUUGAGUCUAAAGAAAACAAAACCCACAGUUUCUCCAGUUCCCACUGGGAGCUGGUGAUUCACUUAGUAGGUAGAAUGCUGGCCUAAGUAUACAUGAGGUCGUGGGUUUGAUUCCCGACUCCCCAGCUACGGUGCACAUAGCAAAUCCAGCGUUCCAGGUGUGGAAGCAGGAAGACUGUGUUUAAGGCAUCGUUGGCUACAUAGGAAGUUUGAGACCAACCUGGGCUACAUGAAACCCUGUCUCAAGGGGGUGGGGGGAGUAGUUGACGAUAUAACAGCAUCGGAUGGACUUAUUUCAUAAGAAAGUCCCAGAAGGGCUACAGCUGAAUUAAAAGGAAAAUAAUCUUUUAAAAUUGUCGUUGUUGUUGAUGAUGCUGGUGAUGGAAACUGGAUCUCUCCGUGUAGCUCUGGCUAUCCUAGAACUUGCUGUGUAAGCGAGGCUGCCCUUGAAACUCACAGGAUUCUCUCUGCUUCUGCCUGCUGACCACUAGGGUUAAAGGCAGGCACCACCAGGCCCAGUGGACAUUGUUUUUCAUUUUAAAAUUACUGUUAUGGUUUGUAUAUGCUUAGCCCAGGGAGUGGCACUGCUGGGAGGUGUGGCCUUGUUGGAAUAUGUGCAUCGCUAAGGGCAUGGGCUUAAGACCCUCACCCUAGGGCUUGGGGAUUUAGCUCAGUGGUAGAGCGCUUGCCUAGCAAGCUCAAGGCCCUGGGUUCGGUCCCCAGCUCCGAAAAAAAAAGAAGAGAAAAAAAAAUACCCUCACCCUAUCUGCCUGAAAACAAGUCUUCCACUAGCAGCCUUCAGAUGUAGAUGUAGAACUCAGUUCUGGCUGCAUCGUUCCUGCCUGGAUGCCGCCAUGCUCCCACCGUCAAAAGACUGAACCUCUGAACCUGUAAUCCAGCCCAAAUAAAUGUUGUGUUUUAUAAGAGUUACCUUAGUCAUGGUGUCUGUUCGAAUUUAGUAAAACCCUAAGACAAUUACAUUUACUUAUUUGUUUAGGAGGUAAGUGUGCCUUGGCACAAGUGUAUAGGUACGAGGACAACCUCCUGGCGAGGGUGGGGGUUAGAAUCUUUUUCACUCUGUGGGUCAUAGGUAUUGAACUCUGGUCAUCAGGCUUGGUGGCAAGCCCCUUUACGAGAUAAGCCAUCUGACUGGUCCUCCCAGCCAAUUUUUAAAGCAUUAUGCCAUGCCUGUGUACAGUUACAAACAUCUAUUAUGCGAGGCCCACAGUUGGGCCAUGGAUACCACAACUGCCUUUUAACCCUUUCAUAACUCACUCCCAUGGAGAAUGGCGCCCACGGGUCAAUUAAGGCACUUGGCUGGCAGCACUGGGCUUUUUCCUAGCUAGGCAAAAAUGGCAAAGGUAGGGGUGUGUGUGUGUGUGUGUGUGUGUGUUGAAUAUGCGAGAAUAUCAGAGACUUACAACUACCAACCAUUACAAGACCUUUCUCUCAGUCAACUAAACAGCUUCAAAUUUCCGGGAAUCAAGCAUUUAGCUUGAGGUAGUUGCUUUUCAAAGAUAGUCCCGAGAGCUCGUAGACCGACUAAAGCAUCAUCUGUACCUUCUGGAAAUUUCUCUUGUGGGGCACUUGGCAUCUGUACAUAAGAUGAGUAGACGGAACUGAAAUGUAGUUACUGUGUUACAACGAACUCCCUGACAGCCAAGGGGAACCCAAGAUGUCUUCUCAACCCAUUCACUGGAAAGUCUGACUCAGAAAAUGUGGGGUGUGUGCGCCUGCGCGCAUGUGCUUACUGAAGCCACACCCUCAAGCCUUCUAAGGGAACCGGUAGGAAUGCUCCUUCAUUCCGAAAACAAUCGGUUCAUUAUAAAACAAACACAAAGGCAGGUAAGACAAAGUUGUCUUUAAGAGCAGCGGCAGGAGGUCCUUAUUCCAAAAUGUUUGGAUGUUGCUGAGUUUCUCCCGGGCUCGACUCAUGAACAUCUGAUGCCUGAGAGUCCUGAUUCAUUAAAAAUGUUCAGGCUUCCUCCCACUGCCCCCUUUCAUCUACUGUCUGUAUCCUAAGGAUUUUUCCACAAGCACGCUUGAAAUUUUCCCGAGUGGACAGAUUAUUCCUCUCAGAGUUCAUGUAUGUUUGUCCAGCGCCAUCUUUUUUUUUUUUUUUUCUUUUCCUCUAAUUUUGAGCCCCUGCUGUGGGACUUUUGAGUUUCUCUCUUGGGUGGCCAAUAAGUUUUGGCUUCUGGCUGGAAUAUCCUAGAAUAACCGCCGUUUAAAAGUCUCCUCGUGCUGAAGUUUUCAGGGCCUCCCAUGACUGAGGCCAUUCUGUAGCUACAGAGACCAAGAAGAGAAGAGGGAUGUAUGAGCUGAAUGCUGUUCAACAAUUCUCAUCACUUCAAACACUGUUAACCCUGGACUGGGAUGCUGGCCCAGCAGGUAAGACCUAAGUUCAGCUCCUAGCAUAUGUGUAUGUGUGUGUGUGUGUGUGUGUGUGUGUGUGUGUGUGUGUGUGUGUGUGAGUGAGUGUGUGUGUGUGUGUGUGCAUGCGUGCAUGUGUGUGUGUGUGUGUGUGUAUAUACACACACGCGCUCCUGAGCAUGCGCGCUCCCUGCAGCUCGCUGCAGGUGCGCUUGAAUAAGUACGCAUGUGUGCUUGAAUAAGAAUGGCCGUCCUAGGUUCUUAUAUUUGAAUACUUAGUCCCCAGUUGAUGGAACGGCUUCGGAAGGAUUAGAAAGUGUCCAUUUGUUGGAAGAGUUAUGUUACUAAGGACCAGGCUUUGACUUUUCAAAAGCCCAUGCCAUUUCCAGUUAGCUCACUCUGCCUCGAGCUUGUUGAUCCAAUGUAAGCUCUCAGCUAUUGCCCCAGAGCUGUGCUCCCUACCAUGAUGGUUACAGAAUCAAACCCUCUAGAACGGUGAGCCACUUCCUUUUAUAAGUUGCCUUGUCGUGAUGUUUUGUCCCAGCAACAGAAAGUUAACUAAGACACAUACGCAUUUCUAAAACAAUGAAAAGGAAUCUUCAAAAUAAGGAAGCUUAGUUCUCUGCUCAUAGAAGCAUGGCAGUGAGUAGCAUCUGAAGACAUGAUGGUCAGAAGCAGGAUUAGGCGUUUCAGACUCAGCAAGUCCCUGAUGAUGCUGAUGCCGUUCCUCCCGGGUUGGAGGUAAGGUUGGGAGGCAGGCACAGGCUAGAGUCUUGUCCAAAUCAGCCUGAAGGUACGACUUCAUAUUUUAUGCAUACUCACAGAAUUUUUUCCGUUAACAACCAACCUUCGGAGGUCUGUCCCAGGAGGAACCUGUCAGGUCCAGAGCCACCUCCAAAUUCUGGUUCCUAGUCACUUAUUCAGCUCACCUGACCACAUUCCUUUACUCUUCCGCUCGUUCGUGUUCCUCUCUCCUGACAAGUAUUCGGUGAAUAUAUCCAGUGUUUAAUGCUGGUAUAGAUGUCUAAAUAAAAAAAUGAGGAAAUAAACAGGAGCAAGAAUUAAGGUUUGCAAUCCAUGGGGGUGGGGGGAAAAACCCCACAGUGCUAUGAGGGGAAGGAAUAAGGAAGUGGGGAAUGGUUUGUGCCGAGGUAAUCCAGGAUGCUUCCUAAGGCUAGGUUGAUGUUCACAUCCACACUACUUUUCACUGUGCCCCGUGUUUGGGGGAAUACGUUGCCUAUGAUCAGGUAGCUUCUUUUGAUACUGAGUACUUAGCUUCAACAAUGAGCUUGACAGCGUCUAGAAUCACCUGAGAGAUGUGCUCAGAGGCACGGUUGGGUCAUCUUAUUACUUCAUUGAUGUGGGAACACCUAUCUUAACUGCAGGCAAGACCUGAGCUGCGUCAGUGGAGAAAGAAAGCGGAGGACCCUGGCAUGAAUUCACCCUUCUCUUCUGAUGUCUCUUCCCGAUAUGUGCUCACAGAUUUCGAGCAGCUACCUCGGCAUUCCAUGAUUUUACUUCAGCACCGUGACAAACCUUAAGCUAGAACUAUAGCUAGAGUUAAGUGUCUCUGUGUCACAUGUGAGCAUAGAUGAUUCGUUUCUACACGGCACCUUGAAUUGGGUAGCAACACCGGCAAAUGAUGUUAUUAUCUCUAUAUUAUAGACUGAAAAAACUGAA